rnacentral:rRNA from 1 species
GACGAACGCUGGCGGCGUGCUUAACACAUGCAAGUCGAACGGAAAGUCCCUGCUUUGGUGGGGUGGUCUAGGGGCGAACGGGUGAGUAACACGUAGGUAACGUGUCCUUGACUGUGGGAGAACUUCAGGAAGCUGGGGCUAAUACCGGAUAGGAUCUCCUGCUGCAGGGUGGGGGCGGGAUAGUUUCGGUGGUUGGGGAUGGAAUGGCGUCCUAUCAGCUUGUUGGUGGGGUAGUGGCUGACCAAGGCUUGGACGGGUAGCCGGCCUGAGAGGGUGACCGGCCACAUUAGGACUGAGAUGCGACACAGACUACACCGCGAGGCGACAGUGCGGAAUGUUACACAAUGGGCGGAAGGCUGAUGUAGCCAAGCCACGUGCGGGAUGACAGCAUUCGGGUUGUAUACCGAUUCCGCCUGUGCCGAAACGUGAGUGACAGUAAUGGGUAAAGAAGCACCGGCUAACUACGUG